ACGAACGCUGGCGGCGUGCUUAACACAUGCAAGUCGAACGGAAAGGCCCUGCUUGCAGGGUACUCGAGUGGCGAACGGGUGAGUAACACGUGGGUGAACUGCCCUGCACUUCGGGAUAAGCCUGGGAAACUGGGUCUAAUACCGGAUAGGAGCCAUUUUUAGUGUGAUGGUUGGAAAGUUUUUUCGGUGUAGGAUGAGCUCGCGGCCUAUCAGCUUGUUGGUGGGGUAAUGGCCUACCAAGGCGGCGACGGGUAGCCGGCCUGAGAGGGUGGACGGCCACAUGGGAAGUGAGAGCCGCCCCGGCCCCCGAGGGGGGGCGGGAGUGGGAAAUUUGGCACAAUGGGCACAGGCUUGAUGCAGCGGCGCGGGGGGGGGGAUGCGGGCCUUGGGGUGGAAACCUCCUUCCCAUAGGGAGGAUUCUUUUGGGGACGGUCCCUAAAAAAAAGCCCCGGGCAAACUACGCC
rnacentral:rRNA from 1 species